UUAUUAUUUUUUGAGACAAGGUCUUGUUCUGUUGCUCAGGCUGGAGGGCAAUGGUGCAAUCUGGGCCCACUGCAACCUUGGCCUCCUGGGCUCAAGUGAUCCUCCUAUCUUAGCCUCCCUAAGUAGCUGGGACCGCAGGCAUGAGCCACCACGCCUGGCAUAUAAAACCUCUCCUAGCAGAAAUUAAUUUUUUUAAAAAAGUCUACUUUUAAAGCAGCAGUUAGAAACUUUGUUCUUAUGUAAAUAAUACUGUU
rnacentral:lncRNA from 1 species